rnacentral:rRNA from 1 species
UACGUAGGGAGCAAGCGUUGUCCGGAAUCAUUGGGCGUAAAGCGCGCGUAGGUGGCCAUUUAAGUCCGCUGUGAAAGUCAAAGGCUCAACCUUUGAAAGCCGGUGGAUACUGGAUGGCUAGAGUACGGAAGAGGCGAGUGGAAUCCUGGUGUAGCGGUGGAAUGCGCAGAUAUCAGGAGGAACACCAAUAGCGAAGGCAGCUCGCUGGGACGUUACUGACACUGAGGCGCGAAAGCGUGGGGAGCGAACAGG